GAGGCCUUGGCCACAGAGUGAGAUCUGUAAUGGUGGAGCCCGAGGGCUCUGCAACCUUCCGGCACCUUCAAAGCACAGUAUAUGCUCAUCUUAGCCAUACCUCCAUUUCUAUAAAACAUGCAUAUUAACGAGAAAAAUAAAACA